UGGGGAAUUUUGCACAAUGGGCGGAAGCCUGAUGCAGCGACGCCGUGUGGGGGAUGAAGGCCUUCGGGUUGUAAACUCCUUUCGUCAGGGACGAAGUUUGUUUGACGGUACCUGGAUAAGAAGCACCGGCUAACUACGUGCCAGCAGCCGCGGUAAUACGUAGGGUGCGAGCGUUUUCCGGAUUUACUGGGCGUCAAGGGCUCGAGGGUGGUGUGUUGGGUCGUCUGUGUAAUCCAGGGGCUUAACUUUUGGUUGGCAGGCGAUACGGGCAUUGCUUGAGUGCGGUAGGGAAGACUGGAAUUCCUGGUGUAGCGGUGAAAUGCGCAGAUAUCAGGAGGAACACCGAUGGCGAAGGCAGGUCUCUGGGCAGUUACUGACGCUGAGGAGCGAGAGCGUGGGUAGCGAACAGG
rnacentral:rRNA from 1 species